GCCUUCAUGGUAUAAUGGUUAGCAUGCUCGACGCGUUUUCGAGAGGUCCGUGGUUCGAGUCCCGGCGAGGACA
rfam:Stegodyphus mimosarum contig25203, whole genome shotgun sequence.